UCCUCGGUAGCUCAAUGGUAGAGCACGCGGCUGUUAACCGUGUGGUUGUAGGUUCGAGUCCUACCCGGGGAGCCA
rnacentral:tRNA from 1 species